rnacentral:lncRNA from 1 species
CCCGAGAUCCAGCGCCGGGAUGCGGACAGAGGGCCUCCUUGGCGGGGUGGACGACUCGACGGUGCUGACACUGGGGCUGGAGGACGCCGCGCCAGCGCUCGCGCCCGCUGCCGAGGUCGUCGGGGGGCAGGAAAAGUUUGUCUUGGCCUUGGGCCCGCGGAACCGGCGGGCGGCGGCGUCGUAGGCGCGCGCGGCCUCCUCGGCGGUGUCAAAGGUGCCGAGCCACACGCGGCACUUCUUGGCUGGGUCCCGGAUCUCCGCCGCGUACCGCCCCCACGGCCGCUUCCUGACCCCCCGGUAGCUCGCCCCCUUCCCAUC